rnacentral:rRNA from 1 species
UGCGCAGGCGGCGCCGCGUGUCAGGCGUGAAAUCCCCGGGCUUAACCUGGGAAUGGCGCUUGAAACUACGGGGCUGGAGUGUGGCAGAGGGAGGUGGAAUUCCACGUGUAGCGGUGAAAUGCGUAGAGAUGUGGAGGAACACCGAUGGCGAAGGCAGCCUCCUGGGCCAACACUGACGCUCAUGCACGAAAGCGUGGGGAGCAAACAGGAUUAGAUACCCUGGUAGUCCACGCCCUAAACGAUGAUGACUAGUUGUUGGAGGAGUUAAAUCCUUUAGUAACGCAGCUAACGCGUGAAGUCAUCCGCCUGGGGAGUACGGUCGCAAGAUUAAA